rnacentral:lncRNA from 1 species
CUGGUGGGCGGCAUACAGUGAGAGUCUUUGUAAAAGUGACGUGAAGAGAUUUUCAUGUUGGAAAGAUGACUAACUGCAUCGUAGAAUUAAUGUGAAAGGGUGGCCCAAGGAAGCAAGUUUCUUCACAGCUAUUGCAAUAAACAGGGUCUACUGGAGACCUUGGCUUUUUAUUUCCCUGACACAACUUCACACUGCUGGAGCAAUGCUUGGAUUGCUCUGGAAACACUGGCAAAUCUCAAGAUGCAGUUCAGGCUUCUCCAUGAUGAGUGUGAGUCCCUAGGCUGUCUCUCAAACUAAAGAUUCCCCAGCCAGGCAACUCUAAAGAGUCUUCGACAAGGCAACACAAUUACUCUGUGUGCUUAGAAGAAGAGGGGUCAUAAAUGUCAGCUGUUGCUCUUUGAGUCCUGCUAAUUCAUUCAUUGAUUCACUCAUCUUUCCCACAGGCAUGUGCUGUGCGUUUACUGUACUGCAUGACACUGUGGAGGUUAUAAAGAAAUAAAAUAUUUG